GCGGAAGGAUCAUUAACGCGCAGGCCGGAGGCUGGCCCCCCACGAUAGGGACCGACGUUCCAUCAGGGGUGAGCAGACGUGCGCCGGCCGUACGCCCCCAUUCUUGUCUACCUCACCCGGUUGCCUCGGCGGGCCGCGCUCCCCCUGCCAGGGAGAGCCGUCCGGCGGGCCCCUUCUGGGAGCCUCGAGCCGGACCGCGCCCGCCGGAGGACAGACACCAAGAAAAAAUUCUCUGAAGAGCUGUCCGUCUGAGCGUUUAGCAAGCACAAUCAGUUAAAACUUUCAACAACGGAUCUCUUGGUUCCGGCA
rnacentral:misc_RNA from 1 species